rnacentral:rRNA from 1 species
GAUGAACGCUAGCGGCAGGCUUAAUACAUGCAAGUCGAGGGGCAGCACAGGUAGCAAUACUGGGUGGCGACCGGCAAACGGGCGCGGAACACGUACACAACUUACCUUAGAGUGGGGGAUAGCCCAGGGAAACUUGGAUUAAUACCCCAUAAAACAGGGGGCCCGCAUUGGCAUAUUGUUAAAGAUUUAUCGCUUUAAGAUGGGUGUGCGUGUGAUUAGGUAGUUGGUAGGGUAAAGGCCUACCAAGCCGACGAUCAUUAACUGGUGUGAGAGCACGACCAGGCACACGGGCACUGAGACACGGGCCCGACUCCUACGGGAGGCAGCAGUAAGGAAUAUUGGUCAAUGGACGGAAGUCUGAACCAGCCAUGCCGCGUGAAGGAUGAAGGUCCUCUGGAUUGUAAACUUCUUUUAUAGGGGGCGAAAAAGGGCCAUUCUUGAUCAACUGACGGUACCCUAUGAAUAAGCACCGGCUAACUCCGUGCCAGCCGCCGCGGUAA